GCAUUUGCGGGGUGGAUAGGGCAUGCAGUCGACGCGAAAGUCGGGCUUCGGUCCGACCGGUAGAGUGGCGAACGGGUGAGUAACGCGUGGGCAAUCUACCCUCGAGUGGGGAAUAACCAUUCCAACGAGUGGCUAAUACCGCAUGUGUCCGUCUUGUCGCAUGGCGAGACGGGCAAAGGUGGGGACCCUUCGGGGCCUGCCGCUCGAGGAGGAGCCCGCGUCCCAUUAGCUAGUUGGCGGGGUAACGGCCCACCAAGGCGACGAUGGGUAGCCGAUCUGAGAGGAUGACCGGCCACACUGGGACUGAGAUACGGCCCAGACUCCUACGGGAGGCAGCAGUCGAGAGGCUUCGGCAAUGGGGGAAACCCUGACCGAGCGACGCCGCGUGCGGGAUGAAGGCUUUCGGGUUGUAAACCGCUGUCAGGAGGGAAGAAUCCCCUUGGGUCAACACCCCGAGGGUUGACGGUACCUCCAAAGGAAGCUCCGGCUAACUCCGUGCCAGCAGCCGCGGUAAUACGGGGGGAGCAAACGUUGUUCGGAUUCACUGGGCGUAAAGGGCGUGUAGGCGGUCUGGUAAGUCAGGGGUGAAAUCCCGCGGCUCAACCGUGGAGUUGCCUUUGAAACUGCCGGACUUGAGGCCGUGAGAGGAGACUGGAAUUCCCAGUGUAGCGGUGAAAUGCAUAGAUAUUGGGAAGAACACCAGUGGCGAAGGCGAGUCUCUGGCACGGUUCUGACGCUGAGGCGCGAAAGCUAGGGGAGCAAACGGGAUUAGAUACCCCGGUAGUCCUAGCCGUAAACGAUGGACACUAAGUGUCGGACGAUCGACCCGUUCGGCGCUGAAGCUAACGCGUUAAGUGUCCCGCCUGGGGAGUACGGCCGCAAGGUUGAAACUCAAAGGAAUUGACGG
rnacentral:rRNA from 1 species